CAGGGAGACAACAAAAUGUUUAAUAUUAUUAUUUUGUCACCUUAGGUCGAUCGGUAUCUCACGUUUUUAAUUUAUUAAAAAUUUCAUUUCCUAAGUUUUUCUAGGUCACACCCAUUAUUUUUCCUGGGCCAUUAGCUCAGGUGGUUAGAGCGCACCCCUGAUAAGGGUGAGGUCCCUGGUUCAAGUCCAGGAUGGCCCAUAUCUCUAUGUUGGGGGUAUAGCUCAGUUGGUAGAGCGCCUGCUUUGCAAGCAGGAUGUCAGCGGUUCGAGUCCGCUUACCUCCACUGAUCACCACCUCUUCCAUAACAGGUAGAAAGGAAAUUUUUUGAGUUGUGAUCAAAUUCUGAAAGAAUCUAGCUUCCUAAUGAAAUCAUUAAGAUGCUGGACUCAUUGAAUUAAUUUCAUUGUUUUCAGAGAACCUUGACAACUGCAUAGAUUAUUUUUAAAGACAAUAAGCAUCUUUAAUGAUGCAGAUUUAUUAUUUGUGCAAAUGCAUUAAUAACAAUUCUAUUAAGCUGAUGCUUCAAUAUUUGAAGUUAUU
rnacentral:tRNA from 1 species